GUUUAAAUAGUUUAGAAAAAAAUUUAGAUUUGUGGAGUCUAGGAGGCGCUAAAGUGCUUUAAACA
rnacentral:tRNA from 1 species